AAUAAAUUAAUCUAAGGGCAGAUGGUGGAUGCCUAGACCAGGAGAGGCGAUGAAGGACGUACUAGGCUGCGAUAAGCCAGGGGGAGCUGCCAAGAAGCUUUGAUCCCUGGAUUUCCGAAUGGGGCAACCCGGCAUGUUGCGAAGCAUGUCACUCUUAGGAGAGCGAACGUGGGGAAGUGAAACAUCUCAGUACCCACAGGAAAAGAAAUCAACCGAGAUUCCCUUAGUAGCGGCGAGCGAAAAGGGAGUAGCCCUAAAGAGUUUAAGGUGUUAGUAGAAUAAGCUGGAAUGCUUGACCGUAGAGGGUGAAAGUCCCGUAUACGAAAACUAAUUAGACUUUAUUCGAGUAGGUCGGGACACGUGAAACCCUGACUGAAUAUGGGAGGACCACCUUCCAAGGCUAAAUACUACUCCAGGAUCGAUAGUGAACCAGUACCGUGAGGGAAAGGUGAAAAGAACCGCAGUGAGCGGAGUGAAAUAGAACCUGAAACCAUCUGCCUACAAUCAUUCAGAGCCCUAUGUUUUAUACAGGGUGAUGGACUGCCUUUUGCAUAAUGAGCCUGCGAGUUAUGGUGACUAGCAAGGUUAAACACACGUGAAGCCGUAGCGAAAGCGAGUCUUAAUAGGGCGUUAGUUAGUUGCUGUAGACCCGAAACUAAGUGAUCUAUCCAUGGGCAGGUUGAAGCUGGUGUAAGAGCUAGUGGAGGACCGAACGGGUGGAGGUUUAAAACUCCUCCGAUGACCUGUGGAUAGGGGUGAAAGGCCAAUCAAACUUAGUGAUAGCUGGUUCUCUCCGAAAUAUAUUUAGGUAUAGCGUCAUGUUCGAAGCUAUGGGGGGUAGAGCACUGAUUGGGCUAGGGCCUACACCAAGGUACCAAACCCAGUCAAACUCCGAAUACCCAUAGUGAAUUCAUGGCAGUCAGGUGGUGGGUGAUAAAAUCCAUCAUCGAGAGGGAAACAGCCCAGACUACCAGCUAAGGUCCCAAAGUUCUAUUUAAGUGGAAAAGGAUGUGGAGUUGCUUAGACAACCAGGAGGUUGGCUUAGAAGCAGCCAUCCUUUAAAGAAAGCGUAACAGCUCACUGGUCUAGCGAUUCUGCGCCGAAAAUAUAACGGGGCUAAAAUAGACACCGAAGCUGUAGAUUUAGUAUUUAUACUAAGUGGUAGGAGAGCGUUCUAGUCAGCAUUGAAGCCAUACCGGUAAGGAGUGGUGGAGCGGCUAGAAGUGAGCAUGCAGGCAUGAGUAGCGAGAAAACAGGUGAGAAUCCUGUUCGCCGUAAACCCAAGGGUUCCUACACUAUGCUCGUCAUUGUAGGGUUAGUCGGGUCCUAAGCUGAGUCCGAAAGGGGUAAGCGAUGGCAAAUUGGUUAAUAUUCCAAUACCAACUAAUAGUUUAGUACGAAGGGGGGACGCAUAGGGUUAAACGAGGUCACUGAUGGAAUAGUGGCUCGAAGGGUGUAGAUAAGCUGGAUAGGAAAAUCCGCCGGCUGUUUUCGAGACCUGACAGGCUGAUGACGCUCUUCGGAGCUGAUUCAGAAUCGUUGAUACCGUCGUGCCAAGAAAAGCCUCUAAGUGUAUUAUUAGUUGCCCGUACCGUAAACCGACACAGGUGGGUGAGAUGAGUAUUCUAAGGCGCGUGGAAGAACCCUGGUUAAGGAACUCUGCAAACUAGCACCGUAACUUCGGAAUAAGGUGUGCCUCCUCUUGUAUUAGAACUUGCUUCGAAAGCGAGAGAGGUUGCAACAAAGAGUCCCUCCCGACUGUUUAUCAAAAACACAGCACUUUGCUAACUCGUAAGAGGAUGUAUAAGGUGUGACGCCUGCCCGGUGCUUGAAGGUUAAUUGAUGGGGUUAGUACUUCGGUGCGAAGCUCUUGAUCGAAGCCCAAGUAAACGGCGGCCGUAACUAUAACGGUCCUAAGGUAGCGAAAUUCCUUGUCGGUUAAAUACCGACCUGCAUGAAUGGCGUAACGAGAUGGGAGCUGUCUCAACCAGGGAUCCAGUGAAAUUGUAGUGGAGGUGAAAAUUCCUCCUACCCGCGGCAAGACGGAAAGACCCCGUGCACCUUUACUAUAGCUUGACACUGCAAUUGGGAUAUAUUUGUGCAGGAUAGGUGGGAGGCUUUGAUUCAUCGGCGCCAGCUGGUGAUGAGCUAUCCUUGAGAUACCACCCUUAUAUAUUCUGAUUGCUAACUUGCGGCAAUUAUCUUGUCGGAGGACAAUGUCUGGUGGGUAGUUUGACUGGGGCGGUCGCCUCCUAAAAAGUAACGGAGGCUUACAAAGGUUGGCUCAGAUGGGUUGGAAAUCCAUCGCAGAGUAUAAUGGUAUAAGCCAGCUUAACUGCGAGACGUACAUGUCGAGCAGAGACGAAAGUCGGUCAUAGUGAUCCGGUGGUUCUGUGUGGAAGGGCCAUCGCUCAAAGGAUAAAAGGUACGCCGGGGAUAACAGGCUGAUCUCCCCCAAGAGCUCACAUCGACGGGGAGGUUUGGCACCUCGAUGUCGGCUCAUCGCAUCCUGGGGCUGAAGCAGGUCCCAAGGGUAUGGCUGUUCGCCAUUUAAAGCGGUACGCGAGCUGGGUUCAGAACGUCGUGAGACAGUUCGGUCCCUAUCUGCCGUGGGCGUUGGAUGAUUGAGGAGAGUUGCCCCUAGUACGAGAGGACCGGGGUGAACGAACCACUGGUGUACCAGUUGUCCUGCCAAGGGCAUCGCUGGGUAGCUAUGUUCGGAUGUGAUAACCGCUGAAAGCAUCUAAGCGGGAAGCCAACUCCAAGAUGAAUCAUCCCUGAAGAUCCGCAGAAGACUACUGCGUUGAUAGGCUGGGUGUGUAAGUGAUGAAAGUCAUUUAGCUGACCAGUACUAAUAGAUCGUUUGUAUUUACUUU
rnacentral:rRNA from 1 species